AGGACGAACGCUGGCGGCGUGCUUAACACAUGCAAGUCACGGGGGGCUCGCAAGAGCAACCGGCGAACGGGUGCGUAACACGUGAGCAAUUUGCCGAUUUCUGGGGGAUAGCCGGCCCAACGGCCGGGUAAUACCGCAUACGCUGAUGGAGAGGAGUCUCUUUAUCAGGAAACCUCCGGGGGAAAUCGAGGAGCUCGCGGCCUAUCAGCUAGUUGGCGGGGUCAAGGCCCACCAAGGCGACGACGGGUAGCUGGU
rnacentral:rRNA from 1 species